CCUACGGGAGGCAGCAGUGGGGAAUAUUGGACAAUGGGGGGAACCCUGAUCCAGCGACGCCGCGUGAGUGAAGAAGUAUUUCGGUAUGUAAAGCUCUAUCAGCAGGGAAGAAAGAAAUGACGGUACCUGACUAAGAAGCCCAGGCUAACUACGUGCAAGCAGCCGCGGUAAUACGUCGGGGGCAAGCGUUAUCCGGAUUUACUGGGUGUAAAGGGAGCGUAGACGGCGAUGCAAGUCUGAAGUGAAAGGCGGGGGCCCAACCCCCGGACUGCUUUGGAAACUGUAUGGCUGGAGUGCAGGGGAGGUAAGUGGAAGUCCUAGUGUAGCGGUGAAAUGCGUAGAUAUUAGGAGGAACACCAGUGGCGAAGGCGGCUUACUGGACUGUAACUGACGUUGAGGCUCGAAGGCGUGGGGAGCAAACAGGAUUAGAUACCCUGGUAGUC
rnacentral:rRNA from 1 species